rnacentral:tRNA from 1 species
GCCGGGGUGGCGGAGUGGUUGAACGCACCGGAUUUGUAAUCCGGCAGGCUUGUCCUCGUCGCAGGUUCGAAUCCUGUCUCCGGCUCCA